rfam:Dipodomys ordii contig_47089, whole genome shotgun sequence.
GGUGGCUCAGUGGCAGAGCGCUUGCCUUGCAUCCAUGAGGCCCUGGGUUCGAUUCCUCAGCACCA